rnacentral:rRNA from 1 species
CAGUAGCCGCGGUAAUACGUAGGUGGCAAGCGUUGUCCGGAAUUAUUGGGCGUAAAGGGCUCGCAGGCGGUUUCUUAAGUCUGAUGUGAAAGCCCCCGGCUCAACCGGGGAGGGUCAUUGGAAACUGGGAAACUUGAGUGCAGAAGAGGAGAGUGGAAUUCCACGUGUAGCGGUGAAAUGCGUAGAGAUGUGGAGGAACACCAGUGACGAAGGCGACUCUCUGGUCUGUAACUGACGUUGAGGAGCGAAAGCGUGGGGAGCGAACAGGAUUAGAUACCCCUGUAGUCCCUGUCUCUUAUAA